CAGCAGCCGCGGUAAUACGAAGGGUGCAAGCGUUACUCGGAAUUACUGGGCGUAAAGCGUGCGUAGGUGGUGGUUUAAGUCCGUUGUGAAAGCCCUGGGCUCAACCUGGGAAUUGCAGUGGAUACUGGGUCACUAGAGUGUGGUAGAGGAUAGUGGAAUUUCCGGUGUAGCAGUGAAAUGCGUAGAGAUCGGGAGGAACAUCAGUGGCGAAGGCGGCCAUCUGGGACAACACUGACGCUGAGGCACGAAAGCGCGGGGAGCAAACAGGAUUAGAUACCCGCGUAGUCCCUGUCUCUUAUAC
rnacentral:rRNA from 1 species